CACGUAUGGGGCGAGCGUUGUUCGGAAUUAUUGGGCGUAAAGGGCGCGUAGGCGGGUUUGCAAGUCUGGUGUGAAAGACCGCAGCUUAACUGCGGGGACGCGCUGGAAACUGUGAAUCUUGAAUCCUGGAGGGGGAGCUGGAAUUCCUGGUGUAGGGGUGAAAUCUGUAGAUAUCAGGAAGAACACCGGUGGCGAAGGCGAGCUCCUGGCCGUGGAUUGACGCUGAGGCGCGAAAGCGUGGGGAGCGAACAGG
rnacentral:rRNA from 1 species